rnacentral:misc_RNA from 1 species
AAACACCAUAUGACGGAUGUCAGACGUUGUUGAUUUACAUAUAGAAGAGAAGUCACUCCUACAAAUGGAAGUUGAUUUGAAAGAGUCGCAAAACCAUUGGCAACAACUUGCAUCCAUUGAAGCUCAAAAAAACCGUGAAUUACGCUAUCAACAUGGAACUGGCCCGAGUAAUGUAUUUAUAUUAGACACGUCCUCCAGUCUUGGAGAAGAAGGUUUUACACAGAUGAAAGAAGCGUUUAUAUCAAUCAUUGAUGAAUAUGCCAAACACCCAGAGAUCGAUGAGAAUGUAGCAGUCAUUGUGUGUGGGAGAGAAACCAAGUUUAUACGUUAUUUUUCUAACCAUUAUGAGGAUAUUAAACAUUGUUUAGAUGACCUUAACUUUGGCGGGCCGUCUAACCUUACUGCUGCUUUCUAUUUGUCCACCGGGUGCUUUAAAAAUGGUUCAAGUAGGUAAUAUGUAAUUUCCUCUGUGCUUUAAAAAUAUCGUAUUCCUUAUAUUUAUCUAUAGUUCAUGUUUAGGUCAGUCACACAUAGUUGGCGAGUUCCAUAUUCGACAAAGAAUAAUUCUUAUUUCGGAUGGUAGACCAACAGAUUUUACCUCAACUUCUCAUACUAAUGACGACGACGCCGCCGCCGCCGCAACCGCCGGAUUUGAUGAAGUAAAUCCAAAGUUUUAGUAUUUAAAAUACAUGUGUUAUAUGGUGUAAACUGAAGAGCGUAUCUUUUUUUUAAGAAUCUGGCAUCAAUUAUCUCGUACAUGUUUACAACUUGAUACGUUUUGCAAACCAUAUCAUUGAUAAUAGUAUUUGUUAUUUGUUUGAAUUGUUUUAUAAUGUUUCUUUUUUUGAUAAAUAUAUAACUUAGUUAAACACUUUCACAACAAAAUACAAGCAAAUAUGGUGAUCAUCAUUUGGUGAUCGAUAAAGGUAUCAACUAUAGACAGUUUGUCAGUGUGUCUUAGUUCUUUAACAGGUCAUCAAAGAUUUUUUACUAUCAUAUACGAGACAUCUUGGGCAAAUUCAUCCAAUAUUUUGUAUACCUGUCGGGAGAAAUCCUGAUUAUACGAUGUUGGAAUUCAUCAGUGUCCAAUCACAGGGUGGAAAGAUUGUUCAUCGUCAUGAAGCGAGGCAAUUCGCAAAAUACUCGCAACAUAUAACAAUAGCGUCUAGGCUGUCAUAUUCAAUGAUGAAUGACGGGAACGAUAGAGAGCGUGUUAUGACGUCACUGGUGUGUAGAUUUCCUGAUGAGGAAUUUUCAGAAAUGGAUCAGGAUGCCAUUUACGAAAUAUGCUCGAAAAAAUCCCUAUAUGGGUCGCUCGAUCGUUCAAAAUUAAAUAGAGAUGAGGAUGAGGAUGCAUUUGAAGAAAGAAACCCCAAUAUGCCUCGUUUGGGUUCAAGGGUCAGACGUGGGUGGGACUGGAAAUGGCAUGAUCAGGACAAUUUCGGUCUUGGAACAGUUAUAGGGCAUUGCAAGAAAGUUGGCUGGUUGACAGUAGAGUGGGAUACUGGCUCCCGAAAUAUUUACCGCUAUGGAACAACACGUUGGGAGAAUGAUGUGUAUGAUGUUCAAGUAUGCAAUGAGCCUCGGAUUUUGAAAAACGAACCAAUAUCUGCAGGAUGCCAAGUCAAAAGAGGUUUUUAACAGUACAAAUGUAUUUGAAUUUAGGUGUUGAGAAAUAAAAUGGGCAAUAUGAUGAUCUAUUUUAAUGAAAGAAAAAUGAUUAAUUAUCAAAUGAUAGCCCUUUCAAUUUACGUGACAUUUCAUUGGCUGUUACUAGUUUAUAUUAUUUUAUCUGAUUUCCAGCUUUUCAGAUCGUUUCAACAAGAGGAAAAACAUGAAUGUAUGACGUAGGUGCUCUCUGAUAAUGACAACCCCUCCCCUCAGUAAAGCUUAAUAUAGAUACAAAACAACGUUUCACCCGUUGAGAUUUGAGAUGAACUUUUAAUUCAAUUAUAAAACCUAAAAUUUAACACAGACGACAAAUUUGCGCUAGUUUGCCGAUGCCUAAAUUGAUGGGAAGCAAAUUCAUAUAAAAUAAAAUUUUAACACCAGGUAUUGUUUUUUCCGAACUCGUCCGGAGAGACCCAAAAAGUUGCGAUUGAUUUAAUUUGUGUAGGUUACGUCACUUUACUAUAAAAAGCUUGUUGUAUCUGCAAAUGCUAUAAAGUACUAGUAAUAAAUUUUUUUGGUGUCGUAAAUGAAAUAUCUCAGCAGCGAAAUAUUCAGCUUAAUUCUUUUUUAGGUCCAGAUUGGGAAUGGGAGAACCAGGACGGCGGCGCCGGAAGUAUUGGAUCCGUUGUAACUGUAGUCAACAAUUGCAUAGUUCUGGUGCGAUGGCAGCAUGGUUUCUUGGGUCAGUAUAGAUUUGGGUGCAAUGGAAAAAUUGACCUCCAAAUUUGUGACCCAUUUUCACAAGAUGCAAUCAGACAUCGUGAUGAACUGAUGAGGUCGGCAGCACUGAAUUGCCCACCCUCGAUUCAAGCUAGAUUUAACGAGGAUUUCGAAAAACCAUUGGAUUCAAUAGAGGAACCGGAUCAUAAAACUUCUCCAAAUUUGGCAACAAAGCCGAUCUUGCAUGUAAUUAAAGGGAAAUACUUUAGAAAUGACUCACGAUCAUCAGACAUUGAAACAGACGGUCCCACUUUUUCAUGUGCAAAAGGACAUUGGUUUUGGAAAAAUGCCAAAGGAGAAUGGAAUCCAUAUUGUAGAGAAACAAAUGCCAAGAUCAACAGAUGUUAUGAACGGGAUCGAAAGUCAACUGCUGUUGUCACAGUUCAAAAUCAGAAUUACAGAGUUGUGAUGGCCAAAAACAUACAGAUUAACUUAGAAACCAGGGAGACGUUGGAAGUUAAAUUAGUUGAAAAUUAGUUUAGUUCGUAAAUAAAAAUGAGGGUAUGC